rnacentral:tRNA from 1 species
AGCCCCUUAGCACAGCGGUCAAGUGUACAAGCCUCUGGCGCUUGUGACCCAGGUUCGAAUCCUGGAGGGGCUA